GAUGAACGCUGGCGGCGUGCCUAAUACAUGCAAGUCGAGCGAACAGACGAGGAGCUUACUCCUCUGACGUUAGCGGCGGACGGGUGAGUAACACGUGGAUAACCUACCUAUAAGACUGGGAUAACUUCGGGAAACCGGAGCUAAUACCGGAUAACAUGUUGAACCGCAUGGUUCAACAGUGAAAGACGGUCUUGCUGUCGCUUAUAGAUGGAUCCGCGUCGCAUUAGCUAGUUGGUAAGGUAACGGCUUACCAAGGCAACGAUGCGUAGCCGACCUGAGAGGGUGAUCGGCCACACUGGAACUGAGACACGGUCCAGACUCCUACGGGAGGCAGCAGUAGGGAAUCUUCCGCAAUGGGCGAAAGCCUGACGGAGCAACGCCGCGUGAGUGAAGAAGGUCUUCGGAUCGUAAAACUCUGUUAUUAGGGAAGAACAAAUGUGUAAGUAACUAUGCACGUCUUGACGGUACCUAAUCAGAAAGCCACGGCUAACUACGUG
rnacentral:rRNA from 1 species